rnacentral:rRNA from 1 species
AUUGAACGCUGGCGGCAUGCCUUACACAUGCAAGUCGAACGGCAGCGCGGACUUCGGUCUGGCGGCGAGUGGCGAACGGGUGAGUAAUACAUCGGAACGUACCCUGUUGUGGGGGAUAACUAGUCGAAAGAUUAGCUAAUACCGCAUACGACCUGAGUGUGAAAGUGGGGGACCGGAAACGGCCUCAUGCAGCAGGAGCGGCCGAUGUCUGAUUAGCUAGUUGGUGGGGUAAAGGCCCACCAAGGCGACGAUCAGUAGCUGGUCUGAGAGGACGAUCAGCCACACUGGGACUGAGACACGGCCCAGACUCCUACGGGAGGCAGCAGUGGGGAAUUUUGGACAAUGGGGGCAACCCUGAUCCAGCAAUGCCGCGUGUGUGAAGAAGGCCUUCGGGUUGUAAAGCACUUUUGUCCGGAAAGAAAUCGCGCUGGUUAAUACCUGGCGUGGAUGACGGUACCGGAAGAAUAAGCACCGGCUAACUACGUG